UACAGAGGUCUCAAGCGUUGUUCGGAUUCAUUGGGCGUAAAGGGUGUGUAGGUGGCGCGCUAAGUCGGGUGUGAAAUUUCGGAGCUUAACUCCGAAACUGCAUUCGAUACUGCCGUGCUUGAGGACUGGAGAGGAGACUGGAAUUUACGGUGUAGCGGUGAAAUGCGUAGAUAUCGGAAGGAACACCAGUGGCGAAGGCGGCUCUCUGGCCUGUAACUGACGCUGAGGCGCGAAAGCGUGGGGAGCAAACAGG
rnacentral:rRNA from 1 species